GUCAGUUUGUCCGAGUGGUUAAGGAGUCAGACUUGAAAUCUGAUGGGCUCUGCCCGCGCAGGUUCAAACCCUGCAGCUGACG
rfam:Piromyces finnis strain finn BCR36scaffold_11, whole genome shotgun sequence.